AACUUUAUUUCUCUAAAAUAAACUCUCUUUUCAUGAUUAUCCAUGUUUUUUACAUUUAUUUCAUAUUGUUUAUAAUUAGCAUUCAUAAAAUCAAUCUUUACAUUGGGUAAAGAUUAAAGGUUGAUGAAUAUUAGCUUAGCAAAACUAUUAUUGUCUUUUGCAUAUCUUGAUAGAGGCAAUUAAAGACCAGGGGGUUUUGCCGUUUUGCUAAAUGUUCCAUUAGACAAAAGAGAAUUCUCAAGAAUUUGCUUUUUGUUAAAUAGAAUCAUGAGGGCAGGAAAAUUGGAAAAAUAGUGGCAGAAUUUAGGGGUAAAAGAAAAAUUGACUUGCAGCACAGGCAUUGCUAAAUCAGAUGACAUUAUCGACCUGUUGGCAGUAAGGCCCCUGACCAUGCAACCAGACCAGUAGAGAGUAACAGGGAACUCUGUAGAGUUGAUUCUAGGGUUGGAUUAGUUGAGAUUCUGUUUUGGUCUUCUUUCCAUCACUUUUUUCCUUCUAGACUUCUAGAAACAGGGGGUGGGGUGUUUCAUCGAUGUGGAUCUGACCAAAUGAAUUUUGUGGUUUUAACCCCAAAGUUAUAAAGAGGUUUUGUGUUGAGGACUUGAGGUUCUGUUUUGGUCUUCUUUCCAUCACUUUUUUCCUGUAAACUUUUAGAAAAAGGGGGUGGAGUAUUUCAUUGAUGUGGAUCUGACCUGAAUAAACAAAACAUUUUGUAAUUCAAAUAGUGUCUUAUAUGUUACUAUUUAGGUUUACUAAUCAAAAAAAAAUGUUGACUAUUUAGGGUAUCUAUAUGAUCGCUGCUUUAAUCAUCUGCUACACCCACGCCUUUUCUAGCCAUGUGCCACCUUAUUUUUGGGUUUCCUAAAGUCUUUUGGGGGCGAUUGACUUGAAUAAAGUCAUUCCUCCUUACUAUGGCUAGUUUUUUUGUAGCACAAGUUCCAUUUCAGACUGUCUUUCCCUGAAGAUUCAGUGACGUUUAAAACACCCUCUCUCUCUCUCUCUCUGCAAAUUGACUAAAGCUCUUUCUGUGCCUAAUUUGUCUAGUCCCUCUGCUGUAGUGAGUCCUCAAGUUGCUUGAUUCUGUUAGAUUAUUUGCAGUGCUGUCAGUCAUGAGAGUGAUUAAGGAAACAUAAUAAAUAGCUUUAAAGGGCUUUGUAGUGUAGAAGGAACCUGAUAAAGAAACUCUAUAAGUUGAGAGCUGCAUCUCAUUAUCAGAAGAUAGGGUUGCAAUGAUAACAUAACGUCUCAAGUCUGUGCUUUCCUGUGGUUUAGAGCAGUGUGGUGAAGCAUCAUGAUCUAGUGACCUUGUUAAAGAAAUGCAUUAACACAAUCAACGUACUAAUAAGACCGGGAAGGCAGAAUGUUUUGGUUGUGUAUUAUUUCUAAUUGUUAGGAUUACUUUGCUGUUAUCCACCUUAAACUGUAGGUUCAUUUGCAAUGUCCACCUCAAACUACAUUUUUUUUAAUUGACAACCUAAUUUGAGAUUUGUUUGCAAUGUCUAUCUCAUCAUUCAAUAGAGUCAAAUUUAAACUAAUAUGUCAAAAUUAACAUAUUGCUUCUCAUUAAUUUGUAAUCAGCCAACUAGUUUGUUGAUUUUAACACUGAUUUUAGAUGGAGUAAUGGUUGCAAGUUUACCUUGAAUUAAGAUGUUGAUUGUAGAACCAUAUACUAGGGUGGACAGCCUAAUUGUUAACUAGCAAACAGAGAAACUUUACGGUCCUGAAUGAGUUCCUUUUUGGCUUUUUCCUUCCCUCACCCCCCCCCCCC